GUUUGAACGUUUUAUUUAGUUAAUUUUUUUCACAAAAAAGCCAUGACAGAAAAGAAAAGAAAGCUAACAUCCUAACAUCCUAACAAUGAAAACGUGGGAAGUUUUGAAAGUAAGUACUUCCCAAUCUCUAACUUACUUAAAAUUGUUUUCAAAUUCUAUCACAAAUUUUGCUUCCAAGUCCACCAAAAGGUUUCUCUUUUGUUUCUUCAUAUGCCUUGAAUAAAACAUAGCAAUUGUGUACUGCUGUUUAGCUCUUGCUUGAUCAAUGCAUUCUGAUAGGAAUGCUUCAGAAAGCACUUCUUCAGCAGAUAACCUGUGACAUAUGUUACUGCAUUCAUCCAGAUGAUGUUACUUUCCAGGUAGGAUUUGUAGUCGGUGACAUCAACUUCCAUAGGAGCUGCGGCUGGUCUUUCUGCGACAUCCCAUGCAGGUGGCUUUGAUGCUUUCUGGAAGUUAGACCCAGCCAGUAGAAUUGCAUCUAGAUCCUCUGUGCAGUUUCCACUUGAAAGGACU